rnacentral:rRNA from 1 species
CUUGGUUCCAUUAGAGGAAGUAAAAGUCGUAACAAGGUUUCCGUAGGUGAACCUGCGGAAGGAUCAUUACCGAGAUUGAAGGGUACCUUCGGGGCCCCGACCCUCCAUCCUGUGUGGUACGACGGAACCUCUGCUUUGGCGGGUACCCCCGCCGGCAGCCCACUAAACCUCACCGUAUUCGUGUCGUCUGAGCCCAAAUAUAACAGUCAAAACUUUCAACAACGGAUCUCUUGGUUCUGGCAUCGAUGAAGAACGCAGCGAAAUGCGAUAAGUAAUGCGAAUUGCAGAAUUCAGUGAGUCAUCGAAUCUUUGAACGCACAUUGCGCCCUCCGGCAUUCCGGGGGGCAUGCCUGUCCGAGCGUCGGUGCACUCGCCACGCGCUGGCUUGCCACGAGCUCCGCUCGACGAUGGAAGGCAUCGCUCUCGGGCGAUCCGCCCCAAAAGCAGGGUGUGGGUGUCGAACCUCUUGCCGCAGUAAACUAUUUUCGGCUUCGAGGGCCGGCAUCUGCGCCACGGCGUCUUCGGACGCGGCGUACACCACGCCCAACCUUUGACCUCGGAUCAGGUAGGGAUACCCGCUGAACUUAAGCAUAUCAUAA